rnacentral:rRNA from 1 species
GACAGAGGGUGCAAACGUUGUUCGGAAUUACUGGGCGUAAAGGCGCGUAGGCGGCCUGUUAAGUCGAACGUGAAAUCCCCGGGCUCAACCCGGGAACUGCGUCCGAUACUGGCAGGCUUGAAUCCGGGAGAGGGAUGCGGAAUUCCAGGUGUAGCGGUGAAAUGCGUAGAUAUCUGGAGGAACACCGGUGGCGAAGGCGGCGAUCCUGGACCGGGUAUUGACGCUGAGGCGCGAAAGCCAGGGGAGCAAACGGG